rnacentral:lncRNA from 1 species
AAUAAAUAACACCUGAAGACCAGCUCAGCAGUGGCAACAGUGGCAGUUAAACCUCAAGAUCGUAAGCCACAGCUCACACACUUAUUUGAAUACUUCCUGUCACAUUGUGGUUUUAGUUGAAACUUCUAUUCAGCCUACAAGCUGCUUCUCACCAAACCACCCGUCCGUGUGAGCUGCAAGACAACGGAAAUAUAUUAGUGGUGAUUUAGUCAAAGUAGUCACAAUUUACGAGAUUAACAAUGUCAUUUUGAGAUUUAAACUGUAAAUAUUCAUAAGUAAUAUUAACUUAUGACAUUAUUGUUGAUAUAUUUUGAAUUCUGUGGUUUAAAGGGACACUUCACCCAUUUGCAUUAAGCUUUGUAUCAUUAGAACCCCAGUCAUAUUUUUGAAUGGUCGUGUAUCAUUCCCUCACUUUCCCUGAGAGGGGAGAAAUAAGGAUUUUAGUGUUGCACUUCCUGUUUCCAAUGAUGUAAUAAUCGUCAUUUUGCGUCAUUGGAAGCAGGAAGUCUCAUAUCUCUGUAGAGGGGGUGAGACUACAAACACUACUUCCUCUUUUUUUUUUAACUCAUGCUACAGACCUAUUACAGAUCAGUGGGUGCGACUUCACCUGCGGAAACUAAAAAAAUAUAACCACCAUGUUGUUUGGAAGCUAAGCGGAGGCGCUGUGGAGCCAGACGUUAGGACUAUGGUAAUCAAUCUAAUAUGGAAGAAAUUUCUAAAGUAUGAUGGUCGAAUCAGAUCUUCGUGGCUACCUUUAUGAGCCGCAAUAUAGCGAGCAGCGUCUGAGGCUUCUGCAGCCGAGGCAGAGGGCCUGUCUGUCUACCGGCCUACCUCGCUGUGUGCCUACGGACACACGGACGUCUGACUGUAAAACAAUAUCGCCUUUCUGGAAUCCUGCAAGGCGAGAGAUUGGGUAGAGGCCAUCGUGUCGUUUUACCCGCUUAUGUGGUGCAGGCUAUCCGACAGAAACAUCCAGCUCCAGAUGGCCAGUACUGCGGCACCGAGGAGUUGAGGAUGCUCAGGAGGAACUAUAACUGUCAUUGUUAACAUAUUUGUUUUUGUUGUUGUUGAUAUAUUUUUGUAAAUAAAUGGUUUACAUUCACAUUGUUGUAGUCCUUGAUAGUGUUAGUGGGAGCGGCUUGCGGAGCUGUGCAUUGUGGGAGUUGUUGUCUUUUAUACAAAUGUGCCCUAAAGUCACUUUCUGUCUUUUCUCGGUCAAAUAGGCACCAAAUUCAAAAUAUGUGUUACAUUUCGACUACAUAUAUAACCCACUUUCAAUAAAUAUUAAUGUUUCCACGGGUGAAAUGCUCCUUUAAUUGCAUUACAGCAAAUGGCCUAAACCUAAAAUCUGAAACCAAGUUGAAAACAUAGAAAUUAAAUAUUAAAUAUUAAAUAACUCAAGUACCUUUACUGGAAUUUUAUUUAACUCCAUACUUUUAAUUGGU